rnacentral:rRNA from 1 species
CCUACGGGUGGCAGCAGUGGGGAAUAUUGGACAAUGGGCGAAAGCCUGAUCCAGCAAUGCCGCGUGUGUGAAGAAGGUCUUCGGAUUGUAAAGCACUUUCGACGGGAACGAUGAUGACGGUACCCGUAGAAGAAGCCCCGGCUAACUUCGUGCCAGCAGCCGCGGUAAUACGAAGGGGGCUAGCGUUGCUCGGAAUUACUGGGCGUAAAGCGCGCGUAGGCGGAUAGAUAAGUCAGAGGUGAAAUCCCGGGGCUCAACCCCGGAAUUGCCUUUGAUACUGUUUAUCUUGAGUGCAGAAGAGGUAAGUGGAAUUCCGAGUGUAGAGGUGAAAUUCGUAGAUAUUCGGAGGAACACCAGUGGCGAAGGCGGCCCCCUGGACAAAGACUGACGCUCAGAUGCGAAAGCGUGGGGAGCAAACAGGAUUAGAUACCCCGGUAGUC